UACGAGAGGCCCAAACGUUAUUCGGAAUUACUGGGCUUAAAGAGUUCGUAGGCGGCGCAGAAAGUGGGGUGUGAAAGCCCUCGGCUCAACCGAGGAAUUGCGCUCCAAACUACUGUGCUUGAGGAAGCUAGAGGUGAGCAGAACUGAUGGUGGAGCGGUGAAAUGCGUUGAUAUCAUCAGGAAUACCGGAGGCGAAGGCGGCUCACUGGGGCUUUUCUGACGCUGAGGAACGAAAGCCAGGUUAGCGAACGGG
rnacentral:rRNA from 1 species